rnacentral:rRNA from 1 species
GACGAACGCUGGCGGCGUGCUUAACACAUGCAAGUCGAACGGAAAGGCCCUGCUUUUGUGGGGUGCUCGAGUGGCGAACGGGUGAGUAACACGUGAGUAACCUGCCCUUGACUUUGGGAUAACUUCAGGAAACUGGGGCUAAUACCGGAUAGGAGCUCCUGCUGCAUGGUGGGGGUUGGAAAGUUUCGGCGGUUGGGGAUGGACUCGCGGCUUAUCAGCUUGUUGGUGGGGUAGUGGCUUACCAAGGCUUUGACGGGUAGCCGGCCUGAGAGGGUGACCGGCCACAUUGGGACUGAGAUACGUCCCAGACUCCUACAGGAGGCAGCAGUGAAGAAUAUUACACAAUGGGCGGAAGCCUGAUGCAGCAACGCCGCGUGCGGGAUGACGGCCUUCGGGUUGUAAACCGCUUUCGCCUGUGACGAAGCGUGAGUGACGGUAAUGGGUAAAGAAGCACCGGCUAACUACGUG